rnacentral:lncRNA from 1 species
UAAAGUAUACAUCUACCCACCCUUUCACUAAAUACCCCAAAUAUCUAUUUAGAAAUUAUUACAUACCAACAAAUUAAUUGCAUAAAUUAAAUAAAAAACCAAGAAGCUAUUCCAUAGAGAGCUCGCAAUCCGGCCCAAGUUGCCCAAAGCUUCCAAUGGUCUUUCAAGCCUCAUUUCCAUAGAAAAAUAAGAGUAUAAGUGCAUCAAAGUUCCCUAAGGGUCUCAAGGACCCCGGGCAAUGCCUACACCUAGACUUAAUAGCCAAGCGUUGAACCUGUGCAGUGUGAAAAGCCAGCCUCAGUAUGCCAGAGUUCCAAGGGUCUCAAGGGCAUCCCAAGGCAGUAGACAUACUAGAGGGGCCAGAACUUAUUAAUUAGGAGUAGAGUGAAAGUGCAGGACACAUGUUUGAAAUAAGUUUAUUAAAGACUGGACUGAAAGGUCUAUUUUGAAAGCAAUUGGUAACAGAGAUAAUUGAAAAGAAGUUUAGUAAAAAGAGUUCAGACACUCCAGGAUAAGACCAGACAUAGCAAGUGGAUGACUUCCGUUAUCUCACAUGGGUUAAGGGGUUUGGGGAUACACAUACAUUGACUGUAGACACAUGACCUCAACAGGAGUAUUAGGACUGGUAUGGACAUGCUCAGAGAUAGUCUGACACUGGCAUAAUCACAAACCACUUAUGAAUACACAAAAGGGAGUGGGGAUUUGGGAUUCACGAAAUCGUAAGUGCACAAUAGGUAAAAAAAUACAAUUGUCCAGGCAUGCUAGAAUCACACAAGGGAAUACAUGAAUUUAAAGGGAGGGGAGUCAUACUAGCAUGCUUAGCUACAAAUUUCACAACAAAACCAUAAGUAAAAGCAGGCUAGAAAUAAAAGCAACUGAAACAAGAAGAGAAACAUGUUGUUGUUGAGACUUUAAAUUAAACUAGGACAUACCAGUGAAGACAAAGUGGGCAGAAUCAAUGAACGAAAGAAUAUAGCUGAUUAGCCUUGGCUUAGAGCCAUCCAAAAAUAGUAGAAUAACAAAGAUUUUAAGUAGGAGAGGGGUUUCUUGAAAGCCAAGUGUGUGUCUAUUGUUUGUGAAAGACUUAGAGUAUUUAUAGUUUAAAGUAGGUAGUGGAAUAAGGUAAAAAUCAUAAUAAUAUACUAAUUUAAGUACUCAGAAUCAAUCAUCUAGAGAAUCAAGCAGAAUGAAAGAAUAGAAGAGUACAGAUGAUUAGAGGUUGAAAUUAGAUAGUGGAAUAAGGUAAAAAUCACAGUAGUAUACUAAUUUAAGAACUCAGAAUCAAUCACUUCAGAGAAUCAAGGAAGUACUUCCUUGAGUUAAGGGGGUCAAGGCCAAACAAAAUGAUUCAGUACCAUAUAAGGGGAAAGAAGAGUCAGUGCAUGAUUAAAUAAGGAAAGGAGCCAGAGUUCAUUACAUAUAAAGUAGUCAAUUAGGACCAAAUUCAGAAAGACCCAAUUAAGGAAAGGUUAAGUAAAACAAAGUAGCAUGGUAAAUAAGGUAAUAAAAUCAGUUAAUUCAAACAGACGAGUAGAAUUCUAGGGCUUUGAAGGAAAAUCUUUCAAUUACCAAAAGUUAAAGAAAAUCAGAAUCAAUCACGAGGAGUCAUGAUUAUGCAUACCUCAAUAUAUAAAUAGAGACGAUUGAACAGAAGUAGCAAACAUACAAGUUCAGUUAUAUAGGCAGAAAGAAACAAGAGAUGAGAAAACACAGUCAUGUAGAGGUGAUGUAAGUAGGUUAGAGAUUCAGCAGAAUAUAUUCGAUGCACGGUAACUAUGAGAGAUUAACAAGACCAAGGCACAGAAAAUUAUGCUAACACAUAGAGCCAUGGAAAAGAGAAUCAUGCCAACCACGAGACCGAAAAUGAAGAAAAUCAUGCUAACACACAGAAGCAGAGUAAAAAAAACCAAGCUAACACAUAGAAACAAGUAAAGAAAAUCAGGCCAACACACAGAAACAAGUAAAAAAAAUCAUGCUAACUCACAGAAAUAAGUAAAGAAAUCUUUAUAAAAAAUUAGGGCUUUUUAUUAGAGUUGAGUUAAAAAGUAGUAAGAACAUAGAAUCGGUCAAGAUAAAAAAGGGAGAAAGGUUUCAUAAAGAAAUCAGUCGAAAUAGGUAUAGAAGGAACUCCAAAAAACCCUUGUUUUCAAAGGGAAAAAAACGGUCUAGAGUAGAAGAUAUUUAAGAAGAAAGCCGAGAACAAGCAAAUCAUAUAAGGAAAUAGGCUUAACGCAUGAAAAUAAUAUAGAUCUAAGAUAUUCAAGAGGGAGUUAGGGUAUUAAAAGGAAACCCAAGUAAAAAUCAAAAGAACCUGUUGUAACUUCACUGAUCGUGACAUAUAAGGUGUGAUUUUGCCGAAAAUCACACUGGAGAACCCAUAAGUGACAGAAACAGAAACCCUGGGUCCAAAUCGAUUGGCCUAGGAUCCUUGAUGGCCUUAGAGAUGAUGAGCAGGGUGAUGAGAGACCUAUUGGAGGCUUUGGUUUAAAAGUAUAGUCACCGGAGAUGACUAGAUAUGGAGGGGAGUGGAGGAGUUUAGGGUUAGGUUUGAUAGAAGAGUGGAGAUGAGAGAACAUCUGAAG